rnacentral:rRNA from 1 species
UACGGGGGGAGCAAGCGUUUGUUCGGAUUUACUGGGCGUAAAGGGCGCGUAGGCGGUCGUGACAAGUCACUUGUGAAAUCUCCGGGCUUAACUCGGAACGGUCAAGUGAUACUGUCGGACUAGAGUACAGAAGGGGCAACUGGAAUUCUCGGUGUAGCGGUGAAAUGCGUAGAUAUCUGGAGGAACACCGGUGGCGAAGGCGGCAUCCUGGACCGAGAUUGACGCUGAGGCGCGAAAGCCAGGGGAGCAAACGGGG